GAUGAACGCUGGCGGCGCGCCUAACACAUGCGAGUCGAACGGCACCCCUCCUCGGAGGGAAGCGAGUGGCGAACGGCUGAGUAACACGUGGAGAACCUGCCCCCUCCCCCGGGAUAGCCGCCCGAAAGGACGGGUAAUACCGGAUACCCCGGGGUGCCGCAUGGCACCCCGGCUAAAGCCCCGACGGGAGGGGAUGGCUCCGCGGCCCAUCAGGUAGACGGCGGGGUGACGGCCCACCGUGCCGACAACGGGUAGCCGGGUUGAGAGACCGACCGGCCAGAUUGGGACUGAGACACGGCCCAGACUCCUACGGGAGGCAGCAGUGGGGAAUCUUGCGCAAUGGGGGGAACCCUGACGCAGCGACGCCGCGUGCGGGACGGAGGCCUUCGGGUCGUAAACCGCUUUCAGCAGGGAAGAGUCAAGACUGUACCUGCAGAAGAAGCCCCGGCUAACUACGU
rnacentral:rRNA from 1 species